CAGCGUUCAAGUCACAUGACAUAUUUAACCGGAUGUAGCUGCAAGACGGAGCCUCGUUACCUCUCCGUUUCAACUUAUCUCAAAAGUGAGGACCUCAACCUAUAUACCAGUUUUUAAAUUGUGUUGAUAGGCCAAAUAAAACCAGAGUUAUGAUAAAUUAUGUCCGCGAUACUUUUUUUCUGCUUAUUUUGAUCACGUUCGGCGCUCGAUCGCGCUGUAUGAGACAGGAAAACAUAGCAUGCACACAUUAGCGACAGGUCUUACAGGCGGAAAAGGCUUGCCAAAAGAAAAAAAAACACACCACAACAUCUCUCCUAUUGGUGGAAAACUUCACCACAACAACCAAUCCAAAAUUAUAUGGUGACUGAUUGACAAGGGGCGGGCGCUUACGUUCUUCCUGCAACAUGAGAAGGGAGGGAGGGACUCUCAGCAGGGAUGCAGUCUGGGACACGUAGUUGCAAACCUAGCGACUUUGUUGUUAGAUUCAAUGACUUUUCAGACCCCCUAACGACUUUUUUUAGAAAGAAAGGGACUUUUAUCGACUUCUUCUGGAGUUUAGAGACUCUGACAUGAAGCAGGCUUUCCUUACUGAGGAGUUAGCAACGCUGCUAAGGGUGCAGAGCCACACAUGCGCUCCGAGCUCUGCAUGGGAGACUGAAGCUGACAGAGCUGCAGCAGUUAGCAGGUUUCACCCUCAGAGACCACCAGGGGUUCAUGUUGAGGCAUUUUCAGUGUUUUUUUUUUUUGCCAUAGACUGUCAGCACAAUCCGCAGUUACACUAACAAAAAUGCUGCAAAAAACAAAGAAUUAUGGAAAAAUUACACAUGGACUGACAUAGAGGAGGAUCUACACAAGUUUUUUACAUCAUGUUUUACAUCAUGCAUCAUUUACAUCAUGUUUUUUUGUAGUGGCAUAAAUAAAAAGUGACAUUUGUGAGACUAUACAGUGUUUUGUAAAUAAUUUUACAAAGAACGCCUGGGCCAUUGCCUGCAUUUUGAUGUAAAUAGAGGUAAAUUACUAUGUUCUAUGUUAAAAAUUUGCAUAUGUUUUGAAGUUUACAAUUUUUAUUUGAAGUUUAAGUUUUAAAAACAGUUCAUCACACAUAUUUGUGGUUUAAUUUCACAUUAAUUUCCAUAUUGUAUAAAUGACUGGAAAAAACUUGAGCCCCUGCCCCUGUAUAAUCAUGUGCACGUCCCUGUUCUAGCUCCAAGGUGAAUCUUCACUGCUCAUGUUCUCCUCAGAAAUAGUCACCUCACUCCCCUCAGGUUACUGUACACAUGCACCAACUAUCUGCUUCAGGUUUGGAUGGAGCUUCAUGGUUGUCUUUUGGAGAAAUGAACAGUCAAGUUGUGUUUGAAAUCUGAUUUUUUUCAGGGGCAAAAGGAAGCCUCUGCAUUCUUGUCAAAUAUGUAAACAGCAUGUUUUUGCAGGUGCUAAAAAACAGACUCUGAGUGUGUGUGUGUGUGUGUGUGUGUGUGUGUGUGUGUGUGUGUGUGUGUGUGUGUGUAUAUGUGUGUGUAUCCUGCAGUACUCUGUACUCCUGCAGUGGCCAAAAAGACUUUUAAGAAUGUGGAUUUUUGGGUCAUCUUUGGCGCCCCCUAGAACUGCAGUACUCUGUACUCCUGCAGUGGCCAAAAUGACUUUUAAGAAUGUGGAUUUUUGGGUCAUCUUUGGCGCCCCCUAGAACGUAAACCGUGGGGUGCAGCGUCAUGAUUUUUACAACUUUGAAUGGCCAUGGGGUCUAGAUUGCCCUGAGCAAAUUUGGUAUCGGUGGGACGAAAGCCUUAGGAGGAGAUAGCCACAUUCCAAUGUGUGCGAAUCGGCAAAAAAUGCGAAAUAGCCCUUUAACCGUACAUUAUACAGAUACGCGCUUUUUGACUUUUUCGUAGAUCUAAUUGAGAUACACAUGAUUGUCAAUUUUUGUGUCAAUAUGACAAAGCGUUCAGGCGUGACACUCAACAAUGUGUAUUUUCAUGUAAGGGGACAAGAAAAAAUUGACUUUUUUCUCCUGCCAUGGGGGGGGCGCUCUUUUGGGGAGUAAAAAUUCCUUCACAAAUGUGUUGAUGGCUGGACAUUGCAUCAUCCUAGAAAACUUGGAGGGCAGUGAGGACAAAAAUAAAAAGUUAUAAGACUUUUAAGAAUGUGGAUUUUGGGUUAUCUUUGGCGCCCCCUAGAACGUAAACCGUGGGGUGCAGCGUCAUGAUUUGUACAACUUUUAAUGGCCAUGGGGGGUAGAUUGGCCUGCGCAAAUGUGGUGCCGGUCGAACGAAAGCCUUCGGAGGAGUUAGCGAAAUUCCAAUGUGUGCAGAUCUGCAAAAAAUGCAAAAUAACCCAUUAACCGUACAUUUGACAGAUACGCCCGCACUGACUUUUUUGUAGAUCUUAUUGAGAUACAUGUGUGUGUCAUUUUUUGUGUCAAUAUGACAAAGCGUACAGCCGUCAUGUGAAUUUUCACCUUAGGGGGCGCUAUGGAGCCAUUUUGCAUUUUAUUGUUUGGCCGACUUCAGAAUAUCGAAUUUUUCACCAGGCCCGGUCGUCCUGCCAAAUUUCCUGAGUUUUCGCCAGUGGGAAGUGGGCCAUUUUCCAGUUUAAAGCGGAGGAAAAAUAAUAACGAAAGAAGGAAACAUGCAGGAACAAGAGGGCUCUCGCAGCUGCUUAGCAGCUACGCUCGGGCCCUAACUAGGACCCCGUUGGGGCACUGGCGGGCCCGAGCCGUGUCGCAUCCCCCCCCCCCCAACGUGCUGCCUUCCCGUCCCAUUUGUGUCCUCUGGCCAUCGCCCUCUCUGGUAACGCCCAUCACUGCAAAGACCCUUUUCCUUCAUCGGCGUUUGCUGUUCUUCCUGCCAGUGCGUGUUGCUUUCACUUACACUUGCCACAGCCAGCCUCGUGAGUGCCUAGCCUUUUGGAUAUCACUGUCACCUACACAGGACAGUCAUUACCUUUCUAUUAAUACUUUGUGUUUUAAUUUCACUUUAAUUUCCAUUUUGUAUAAACGACUGGAAAAAACUUGAGCCCCUGCCCCUGUAUAAUCAUGUGCAUGUCUCUGUUCUAGCUCCAAGGUGAAUCUUCACUGCUCAUGUUCUCCUCAGAAGCACUCACCUCACUCCCCUCAGGUUACUGUACACAUGCACCAACUGCCUGCUUCAGGUUUGGAUGGAGCUUCAUGGUUGUCUUUUGGAGAAAUGACCAGUCAAGUUGUGUUUGAAAUUUGAUUUUUUCAGGGGCAAAAGGAGCCUCUGCAUUCUUGUCAAAUAUGUAAAUAGCAUGUUUUUGCAGGUGCUAAAAACCAGACUCUGAGUGUGUGUGUGUGUGUGUGUGUGUGUGUGUGUGUGUGUGUGUCUGUGUGUGCGUUCAAGUCACAUGACAUAUUUAACCGGAUGUAGCUGCAAGACGGAGCCUCGUUGACUCUCCGUUUCAACUUAUCUCAAAAGUGAGGACCUCAACCUAUAUACCAGUUUUUAAAUUGUGUUGAUAGGCCAAAUAAAACCAGAGUUAUGAUAAAUUAUGUCCGCGAUACUUUUUUUCUGCUUAUUUUGAUCACGUUCGGCGCUCGAUCGCGCUGUAUGAGACAGGAAAACAUAGCAUGCAGACAUUAGCGACAGGUCUUACAGGCGGAAAAGGCUUGCCAAAAGAAAAAAAAAACACACCACAACAUCUCUCCUAUUGGUGGAAAACUUCACCACAACAACCAAUCCAAAAUUAUAUGGUGACUGAUUG